rnacentral:rRNA from 1 species
GGGUUGUGAGGUUAAGUGACUAAGCGUACACGGUGGAUGCCUAGGCAGUCAGAGGCGAUGAAGGGCGUGCUAAUCUGCGAAAAGCGUCGGUAAGGUGAUAUGAACCGUUACAACCGGCGAUACCCGAAUGGGGAAACCCAGUGUGUUUCGACACACUAUCAUGUCAUGAAUACAUAGUGGCAUGAGGCGAACCGGGGGAACUGAAACAUCUAAGUACCCCGAGGAAAAGAAAUCAACCGAGAUUCCCCCAGUAGCGGCGAGCGAACGGGGAGGAGCCCAGAACCUGAAUCGGCUUGUGUGUUAGUGGAAGCGUCUGGAAAGUCGCGCAGCAAAGGGUGAUAGCCCCGUACACUAAAAUGCACAGGUCGUGAGUUCGAUGAGUAGGGCGGGACACGUGACAUCCUGUCUGAAUAUGGGGGGACCAUCCUCCAAGGCUAAAUACUCCUGACUGACCGAUAGUGAACCAGUACCGUGAGGGAAAGGCGAAAAGAACCCCGGCGAGGGGAGUGAAAUAGAACCUGAAACCGUGUACGUACAAGCAGUGGGAGCACCUUCGUGGUGUGACUGCGUACCUUUUGUAUAAUGGGUCAGCGACUUAUAUUUUGUAGCAAGGUUAACCGUAUAGGGGAGCCGUAGGGAAACCGAGUCUUAACUGGGCGACUAGUUGCAAGGUAUAGACCCGAAACCCGGUGAUCUAGCCAUGGGCAGGUUGAAGGUUGGGUAACACUAACUGGAGGACCGAACCGACUAAUGUUGAAAAAUUAGCGGAUGACUUGUGGCUGGGGGUGAAAGGCCAAUCAAACCGGGAGAUAGCUGGUUCUCCCCGAAAGCUAUUUAGGUAGCGCCUCGUGAACUCAUCUUCGGGGGUAGAGCACUGUUUCGGCUAGGGGGCCAUCCCGGCUUACCAAACCGAUGCAAACUCCGAAUACCGAAGAAUGUUAUCACGGGAGACACACGGCGGGUGCUAACGUCCGUCGUGAAGAGGGAAACAACCCAGACCGCCAGCUAAGGUCCCAAAGUCAUGGUUAAGUGGGAAACGAUGUGGGAAGGCAUAGACAGCCAGGAUGUUGGCUUAGAAGCAGCCAUCAUUUAAAGAAAGCGUAAUAGCUCACUGGUCGAGUCGGCCUGCGCGGAAGAUGUAACGGGGCUAAACCAUGCACCGAAGCUGCGGCAGCGACGCUUAGGCGUUGUUGGGUAGGGGAGCGUUCUGUAAGCCGUUGAAGGUGGCCUGUGAGGGUUGCUGGAGGUAUCAGAAGUGCGAAUGCUGACAUAAGUAACGAUAAAGCGGGUGAAAAGCCCGCUCGCCGGAAGACCAAGGGUUCCUGUCCAACGUUAAUCGGGGCAGGGUGAGUCGACCCCUAAGGCGAGGCUGAAAAGCGUAGUCGAUGGGAAACAGGUUAAUAUUCCUGUACUUGGUGUUACUGCGAAGGGGGGACGGAGAAGGCUAGGCUGGCCGGGCGACGGUUGUCCCGGUUUAAGCGUGUAGGGGGUGUGACCUGGUAAAUCCGGUUGCAUAUCAACCCUGAGGCGUGAUGACGAUGCACUACGGUGCAGAAGUAGUUGAUGCCCUGCUUCCAGGAAAAUCCUCUAAGCUCCAGGUAACAUUAAAUCGUACCCCAAACCGACACAGGUGGUCAGGUAGAGAAUACCAAGGCGCUUGAGAGAACUCGGGUGAAGGAACUAGGCAAAAUGGUGCCGUAACUUCGGGAGAAGGCACGCUGGCAUGUAGGUGAAGUCCCUCGCGGAUGGAGCUGAAGCCAGUCGAAGAUACCAGCUGGCUGCAACUGUUUAAUAAAAACACAGCACUGUGCAAACACGAAAGUGGACGUAUACGGUGUGACGCCUGCCCGGUGCUGGAAGGUUAAUUGAUGGGGUCAGCCGCAAGGCGAAGCUCUUGAUCGAAGCCCCAGUAAACGGCGGCCGUAACUAUAACGGUCCUAAGGUAGCGAAAUUCCUUGUCGGGUAAGUUCCGACCUGCACGAAUGGCGUAAUGAUGGCCAGGCUGUCUCCACCCGAGACUCAGUGAAAUUGAACUCGCUGUGAAGAUGCAGUGUACCCGCGGCAAGACGGAAAGACCCCGUGAACCUUUACUAUAGCUUGACACUGAACAUUGAGCCUUGAUGUGUAGGAUAGGUGGGAGGCUUUGAAGCGUGGACGCCAGUCUGCGUGGAGCCAUCCUUGAAAUACCACCCUUUAAUGUUUGAUGUUCUAACUCGGCCCCAUAAUCUGGGGUGAGGACAGUGUCUGGUGGGUAGUUUGACUGGGGCGGUCUCCUCCCAAAGAGUAACGGAGGAGCACGAAGGUUAGCUAAUCACGGUCGGACAUCGUGAGGUUAGUGCAAAGGCAUAAGCUAGCUUGACUGCGAGAGUGACGGCUCGAGCAGGUACGAAAGUAGGUCUUAGUGAUCCGGUGGUUCUGAAUGGAAGGGCCAUCGCUCAACGGAUAAAAGGUACUCCGGGGAUAACAGGCUGAUACCGCCCAAGAGUUCAUAUCGACGGCGGUGUUUGGCACCUCGAUGUCGGCUCAUCACAUCCUGGGGCUGAAGUAGGUCCCAAGGGUAUGGCUGUUCGCCAUUUAAAGUGGUACGCGAGCUGGGUUUAGAACGUCGUGAGACAGUUCGGUCCCUAUCUGCCGUGGGCGUUGGAAGAUUGAGAGGGGUUGCUCCUAGUACGAGAGGACCGGAGUGAACGCACCACUGGUGUUCGGGUUGUCAUGCCAAUGGCAUUGCCCGGUAGCUAAGUGCGGAAAAGAUAAGCGCUGAAAGCAUCUAAGCGCGAAACUUGCCUCAAGAUGAGUCUUCCCUGGGCCUUUAAGGCCCCUGAAGGAACGUUUAAGACUAAGACGUUGAUAGGCUGGGUGUGUAAGUGCAGCGAUGCAUUGAGCUAACCAGUACUAAUGAUCCGUGAGGCUUAACCUUACAACACCGAAGGUGUUU